UACAGAGGUCUCAAGCGUUGUUCGGAUUCAUUGGGCGUAAAGGGUGCGUAGGUGGCGCCGUAAGUCGGGUGUGAAAUUUCGGAGCUUAACUCCGAAACUGCAUUCGAUACUGCGGUGCUUGAGGACUGGAGAGGUGACUGGAAUUCAUGGUGUAGCAGUGAAAUGCGUAGAGAUCAUGAGGAAGACCAGUGGCGAAGGCGGGUCUCUGGGCCGACACUGACGCUGAGGAGCGAAAGCGUGGGGAGCGAACAGG
rnacentral:rRNA from 1 species